UACGGAGGGGGCUAGCGUUGUUCGGAAUUACUGGGCGUAAAGGGCACGUAGGCGGCUUUGUAAGUUAGAGGUGAAAGCCCGGGGCUCAACUCCGGAAUUGCCUUUAAGACUGCAUCGCUAGAAUUGUGGAGAGGUAAGUGGAAUUCCGAGUGUAGAGGUGAAAUUCGUAGAUAUUCGGAAGAACACCAGUGGCGAAGGCGACUUACUGGACACAUAUUGACGCUGAGGCGCGAAAGCUAGGGGAGCAAACAGG
rnacentral:rRNA from 1 species